rnacentral:rRNA from 1 species
AAAACGACUCUCGGCAACGGAUAUCUCGGCUCUCGCAUCGAUGAAGAACGUAGCGAAAUGCGAUACUUGGUGUGAAUUGCAGAAUCCAGCGAACCAUCGAGUCUUUGAACGCAAGUUGCGCUCGAAGCCUUCGGGCUAAGGGCACGUCUGCCUGGGUGUCACGC